rnacentral:rRNA from 1 species
AUACGUAGGGUGCAAGCGUUAAUCGGAAUUACUGGGCGUAAAGCGUGCGCAGGCGGUUUUGUAAGACAGUGGUGAAAUCCCCGGGCUCAACCUGGGAACUGCCAUUGGGACUGCAAGGCUGGAGGGCGGCCGAGGGGGAUGGAAUUCCGCGUGUAGGCGUGGAAAGCGUAGAUAUGCGGAGGAACACCGAUGGCGAAGGCAAUCCCCUGGGCCUGCACUGACGCUCAUGCACGAAAGCGUGGGGAGCAAACAGGAUUAGAUACCCUGGUAGUCCACGCCCUAAACGAUGUCAACUGGUUGUUGGGGAUUUAUUUUCUCAGUAACGAAGCUAACGCGUGAAGUUGACCGCCUGGGGAGUACGGCCGCAAGGUUAAAACUCAAAGGAAUUGACGGGG